rnacentral:rRNA from 1 species
CUCUUUUAGACCUAAUUAAAAGUAAAGCCUGCUCAAUGAACUUUAAAUAGCCGCAGACCCUUCUGUGCUAAGGUAGCAUAAUCAUUUGCCUUAUAAUUUGAGGAUCGUACGAAUGGCUCAACGCAUUUAAUAUUGUAUCAAAACUAUAUUACUAAAUUAGAAUAAAAGUAAAAAUACUUUUAUACACAAGAAAGACGACAAGACCCUAUCGAACUUUACAUACGUUUAGCUGGGGCGGCUAACCAAUAAAAACUUCGUUCCUCCCCCCCAAACGAACCUGUUACAACAGAUCUAUGAACAAGUUACCGUAGGGAUAACAGCAUAAUUUCUUUUUGAAGCUCUUAUUUAAAAAGAAGCUUAUGACCUCGAUGUUGAAUUAGAAAACCCUUAUUACUUAAGCAAAAUUAAAUAAAGGAAGUCUGUUCGACUUUUAAAAUUCUACGUGAUCUGAGUUCA